GCUUGUCUCAAAGAUUAAGCCAUGCAUGUCUAAGUAUAAAUGGUAUACAGUGAAACUGCGAAUGGCUCAUUAAAACAGUUAUAGUUUAUUUGGUAUUCGAAUUUACAUGGAUAACCGUGGUAAUUCUAGAGCUAAUACAUGCAUAAAACCCUAACUUCUGGAAAGGGUGUAUUUAUUAGAUGGAAACCAAUGCGGGGUAACCCGGAAUAUGGUGAUUCAUAAUAACUUUCGGAUCGAUUUAUCGAUGCAUCAUUCAAGUUUCUGCCCUAUCAGCUUUGGAUGGUAGGGUAUUGGCCUACCAUGGCUUUAACGGGUAACGGAGAAUUAGGGUUCGAUUCCGGAGAGGGAGCCUGAGAAACGGCUACCACAUCCAAGGAAGGCAGCAGG
rnacentral:rRNA from 1 species